UACGAAGGGGGCUAGCGUUGCUCGGAUUUACUGGGCGUAAAGGGUGCGUAGGCGGAUUGGUAAGUUGGAGGUGAAAGCCCAGGGCUCAACCCUGGAAUUGCCUUCAAAACUGCUAGUCUUGAGUUUGGGAGAGGUAAGUGGAAUUCCGAGUGUAGAGGUGAAAUUCGUAGAUAUUCGGAAGAACACCAGUGGCGAAGGCGACUUACUGGACCAAUACUGACGCUGAGGCACGAAAGCGUGGGGAGCAAAC
rnacentral:rRNA from 1 species